rnacentral:rRNA from 1 species
GGGGAAUCUUAGACAAUGGGGGCAACCCUGAUCUAGCCAUGCCGCGUGAUCGAUGAAGGCCUUAGGGUUGUAAAGAUCUUUCAGCUGGGAAGAUAAUGACGGUACCAACAGAAGAAGCCCCGGCUAACUCCGUGCCAGCAGCCGCGGUAAUACGGAGGGGGCUAGCGUUGUUCGGAAUUACUGGGCGUAAAGCGCACGUAGGCGGAUAUUUAAGUCGGGGGUGAAAUCCCGGGGCUCAACCCCGGAACUGCCUUCGAUACUGGGUAUCUUGAGGUCGAGAGAGGUGAGUGGAAUUCCGAGUGUAGAGGUGAAAUUCGUAGAUAUUCGGAGGAACACCAGUGGCGAAGGCGGCUCACUGGCUCGAUACUGACGCUGAGGUGCGAAAGCGUGGGGAGCAAAC